rnacentral:rRNA from 1 species
AUCUACGACCAUACCACCCUGAACACGCCCGAUUUUAUCUGAUUUUGGAAGCUAAGCAGGGUUGGGCCUGGUUAGUACUUAGAUGGUAGACCGCCUGGGAAUACCAAGUGCUGUAGGCU